GUAAACACUAAGCAAUGCUAACAUUUCUAAUUCCCAUAUUUUCAUAAGACUUUUUGAACGACUGUGUAGAUUGUAGAUAUAUGCUAUGUGUAAAUGACCUUUAAUAUGAGCAUUGUAUUUUUAUAAAUGUGUUUUUAUGUUUACUUAGUAACAUUCUUUAAAGCCAGGCUUUUAUUUUAUAUAUAUUAAGCAGACGGAUAUUCAGUGAUUUUAUUUUGAAAGCGUCUCGCCGAGACCUCAUACACAUCAGGUGCUUCGGACUUUACCGGCACGUAGGAAAAGUGUGUCUGCAAGGCUAAGAGUGUGUCUUCAAUGCUAAAAGCAAGCAAAGUGUGCCUAACUCACAUGGAACGCCCUAGCACCUGGCUAAUAAGGGGCACAAGCUCUUACGCUGUGUUUACAUUGAAUACGGUCCAAGGAAUAAAACACUGUGAACCAUCAGUUUGAGAGUCCGACCAUCAUUUAGCCGGGGAUGCUACACUAUGAAUUUGCCACUGCUAAAAUAUCAGAUAAGGGGAUUAGUUACUUUAUUGUUUGUUUCAUAUAAAGAUGUGGUCCUAUGUGUAACAAUUUGAAAGCAGUAAGCUUGUUGUGUAAUAAGAAUGCAUCCCAGUUGGAAGACAGUUGUCCUUUGGUAAAGACAUGAUUAUCACAUUGCAGGGGUAAAGACAGAACAGUGCUUCUCUCAAAUAAUAAUGAUUAGGAAGUCAUCAUCAUUAUCUCAGGGGCUAUUGUUCUGUACUCAGGGGCUAUUGUUCUGUACUCAGGGGCUAUUGUUCUGUACUCAGGGAUAAAGGAUGUCUUGUGAUUCUGUAAGUUUCAGAGACAGGAACUAUCACACUACCCUGGACGUUGCUUAAGGAGGUCACAGGAAGGACACAUGAGAAGAUGGAGGAGGGAGUCCGAUCACCUGCCCCCCAGGAGACCACACCUCACAUUGCAUAACCAUUCUGGAUUGUAUAUAAGACUGGGUUAGGAAGAGAUAGGGGUCAGACUUCGUGAACUGACGACAGACAAUGUUAGUCAGGGAUAGGAAAUCUCGACCCAGAGCUCUGUAUGUUUUAUUCAUUUACUGCUAAAUAAAAUAGCCUGUUGAGACCGCU